UAUUUAAUGUGAGACCUGCCCAGUGAUUUAUAUAAUUUAAGUAUGAAAUAUUUAUAAUUAAAUUAAACGGACGCGGUAACCAUGACUGUGAUAAUGUAGCAUAAUCAAUUGCCUUUUAAUUGGGGGAGAGUAUGAAUGGUUAAACGAAUAUUUCAUUGUCUUAGAAAAAAUUUUUUAAAAUUAGAAUAAUAGUUAAGAUACUAUUUAAAAUUGUAAGACGAAAAGACCCUAUAGAGCUUAACUAUAAAAUAAAUGUUAUAAUUUUAAAUUUUUAAAUAAUUAAUUUAUUUUGGUAGUUUAGUUGGGGCGACUAUCUUCUAUAUUUAACGAAGCAUAAGCAAAAUUAAUAAUAUUAAUUUAUUGUAUAAUUAAUUUAUUUAACAAUUACUAUUGUAGGCUAUAAUGACCCAUUUAAUUUAUAAAAAAUAAUUAAAUGAUUAAUUGAUAAAAGCUACCUUAGGGAUAACAGGAUAAUUUUGUUUUAGAGUACUAAUCGAAUUCAAAGUUUGUCACCUCUAUGUUGAAUUAGGAUAUCCCGGUAAAUGCAGAAAUUACUAAUGGUAGGUCUGUUCGACCUUUAAAA
rnacentral:rRNA from 1 species